rnacentral:lncRNA from 7 species
AUCAGAAGGCAGCUCAGUGCUGGAAGCCAGCUCCUACCUGCACUGAAAAUCAGAGUGUCUCCAUUCUACGAGAACGAUCUGCCACUCUUAAGACCACAUCCAGAUGAAAAGGCUGCCAAAGUGGUCAUUUGGAAAGCACGUCACUACCAUGUCCCCAGGUCUCGAUCAGGAGGAAAUUCAAUCCAAAAAUGCUAACCUGAAGGCUCCAAUUUAACUUGCUUCCCUGUAUUCAUGCUUAGGCAGCUGCUUCAGAGGAAACCCAGGAGUGCUGAUGUUUAAGUCUGCAUGCUGGAGCAGUAACAUUGGCAAGAUCAAGGCCAUGCCUGGGCCCUUAUUUUCCUGGGUAAAAGUUCAGAGAAUCAUCAAGAUGAGUUGUGCCCAUUACUCUGCAGAGCAGGAAUUAAAGCAACAACCUGCAUGGGAUCAGUAUGAGCAGAGAUAUGAUGCAAAUCACUGGGGAACCAAAAUGACUCGCUGGCUUUGUGUUCAGCUUCACACCUAUAGCCUCUCGGUGAUUAUGUUAAAAAUAAGUUGAAGUGCUUUACAUUACCUGCCUUAAAACUGAAGUAAUGUUAGUGACAGCUACCAAGGUGCUGUGUUGCUGUAAAACACACGCUUCAUGAAUAUCAGCUC